AGUGGAAUUUUUGGAUCAUAUGGUAAUUUUAUGUUUAGUUUUUCGGGGAACCACCAUACUGUUUUUCAUAGAAGUUGUACCAUUUACAUUUCCUCUAGUAGU
rnacentral:pre_miRNA from 1 species